UGCUCAGAGUCUCAAUCUUCUGCUGGUGCACAUUCUUUGCACAUAAGGAGAAAAGUUUACCAGCUCAGGAAAAUGCCCGGGACUGCACAAAGAUGAGAACACUGAGGCUUAUAGAAGUUAAGAGAAUUGUCCACGAUCCCAAAGCUAGUAGGUGAAAGAACUAGGAUGCAAACACUGGGAAAGGAUAAAUGAAUGACCAGAGAGAGGCACAGACAAUCCCUCCACCAGCACCACUACCAUUCUGGAGAAUGUCCAUGAAGGCAAGGCCUUUCCAGGAGCUCUGAAAAGGGACUCCUGUGUGCCGGUACCUCCACCUGUGGUCUGCCCCUGCCUGCUGUCUGUUGAGCAGCCCAGUGCUGGGAUGAAAAAGGGCCCAUCCCUACUGAUUGGUAAAUGGGUAUGAUAUCUGACCCCCAGUGCAGAGCUAGGGGCUGGCCAGGUCAGCCCAAACUCCAAGAACCGCUCCACUCUUGGAGGCCUCAGCCAUAUUCAGGAAGAGAGAAAAGGGCUGUCAGUGUAGCCUGAGCAGUCUGUUGAGCUCAGAUCGCCUUUUACCUGAGGCCUAUUUCCUUCUGGGCUUUCUAGGGGAAUGGGGCAGGGCAGGGCUUUGGUCCCCACCACAGUUGUCAGGUAAAAUGUAGGCUGCCCAGUUAAAUUUGAGUUUCAGAUCAACAUCUAACUAUUCUGGCAUAACUAUAUCCCAUGUAAUAUUUGGGAUAUACUUAUACUAAAACAAACAAAAAAUCUACUUGUUGGACUACAAGGUCCACUGAGAGUUCUGGAAAGCUGAUUGCAAGGGUGAAGCAGAGACUAAGAGCAAGCCCUAUCCCGAGCCCCAAAUCAAGCCCCACACUUUCCCAGCUACCUCUUCUAAGCUUCCCGGAGAAAGUAGAGUCUUCCUUCUUUCAGGCCUGCAAGUUUCCCUCUCUCUCAGGAAGAUGGAGUGUAGUGAUAUGAUGCUAGACAGGAAGGGAGCCCUGUCUAUCUGCAAGGCCACAGAAUGGGCUGUUUGAGCAACCCGUCUACCUAACAGCCAUACCAUCAGGUCAAACCCCUGUCCAUCCUCUGGCAGAGGCCCAUGUCCAGGAUACAGCAGUCAGAAAUUAAUGAGUCCCUCAGGAUCUCUGUGUUUGCUCUCUCUCUAUCUCUCAUUUCUCUGCCUCAGUUCAGAACGGACUUAGUAAAGAGAAGAGACAGUGUGCAAUGAGUUCUGAGUUCCACUGAUGCAGCCAGGGUUCCAGUCUCACCUGUAUGAUCUUGAGCCUGUCUCUCAUAGAAAGAUGGAACUUCUUUCUUCCUCUCAGUACAUGUAUUCCUAACCGACUGAAAAAAAAAAAAGUGGCUUCAGGUACCCCUUAGUCCCAGAGAAUCUGGUAGUUGGACCGAGACUUCGUCUCUGAAGGAGGCUAUUAUCCAGGAGCCAAUUCUUGGACAAACAGGAGCAUAUCUCCUUCUCUUUAGAAGUCACAGACUCAAGACUUCAGUGCCAGACAGAUAAACACGAAGCAACCAGUGAGAUGCACUAGGGAAGGGUGGGGUCUGUGACUGUACCUCAAAAGCACACGCCUCUCUAAAGGCAUUCAAUUUCAUGUUGUUGUUGUUUUUGUUUUAAACACUGCUCAGCAAACCAAAGUCCCAGGUGGGCCUGGUUUUGGUGUGCUGGGUAACUCCCUGGUUUAUUGAUCUUGCUGGUGACACACCUCUCCCUAGCCAUAGGGUCACAAAGUACUGAACAGAGUGGAAGUACAACAUGUGCAGAGACACACUGACCCAUAAAGAUACAUGAAGCCAUCUGUGUAUUCACCAAUAUCAGACCCCUAAGAAGCAAGAGCGUCUGUAAGGAAGCAUAAGGACCCUUACAGGGGAGCUGCCCACCCACAGCUUGCCUCCCUCGCUACCUCUUGCCCACCUCUCACCUCUCUGCCUCCUCCUUGUCCACCCAGUGAGACCCAAGUCUACUGCUCACACUCACCCCUUCUUCCCUCUCCCUGGUAGUGACAUUCUGUAAAGCACAAAGGGUGUCAAUGGAAAUGGGGUGGGGGGAGGGCUCUGCACAGCUGACCCAUGUGGUAGAGCCAUCACACAUGCAUCUGGGGCCCCUGAAACGCCCCUCCUGCUUUUAAUCCUCACAACAAGCUUGUAUUGGGGCAGGGGACUGACAAGGAGUGUCCACACACUCCUUGGCCUUGAUAUAAGGAAGUUAUAUCCAAUCCCAGUGAUUUAACUCCAUGUUUGUUAUAAACUCCAUCAGGAUGUGUGAUGACCCUCUCCCAAGGAUCACCCAGGUAUCCCUUCUUGGGUCUCUCCCCUGGGGACUAGGCCAUAAAGCAGAGUUAGUUCCCAGGCACUCAGGCCACUGACUUUAGAAGGAUCCUGAGCAGGGGUGCAGAGUCUAGGGCUUUUCCAUGAUCCUUCUGGUCCAUUCUAUCUUGGCCAUCAGUGCUAGAAUCUAGGUAGCCUCUUCCUGGGCUCAAUCAUUUCAGCAAAAGAGAAGUAGAUCAAUCAGUUGCAAUAAGUAAAAUAAAUUAUAUUAAAAUUCCAGUACUCCUUCAGAUAUUCCUGAGAACCGGUUUUUGGAUGAUUUACUGUUUGGAAUUGUCUGGGCUGCUGUCCCCUUCCUUUUUAUGAUUGUAAGUAACAUUGAUUAUUACCAGCAUCUUAUCAAAACUGCGAUGUCCAGGGCUGGCCGAGUG